GGCGAUUACAAACCUUAUAUACAAACUCAAAAGCUAGGGCUUUCAGAACAAACUAGAUCUUUAGCCUAACCUUAUCUCUCCAGCUAAGACACCUUGCUUUACACCUCACAUGAAGACAAAAACACCUCAAAGCGAUUCUGAGGGAGUAGUUUUCCCUUUACCGUACUAGCUCCUCUGUUCUCAGUAUAUGACCAUUGUGGUGGAGGGAGAUCCUUCUUGGGCUCUGUUGUGGUGAUAUUCCACUGGGCCUCAUGACCGUUGAAGCUCAAAGACUAAACUUCUCUAAUACGAUGGUGUUGUGUGAUGUUCAGCGACAUCUAUAUUAUAACCUUGUCCAUGGUUAAUCUUUGUCAUUUGUAAUAGGUUGAGACUUGAGAGUGAGAUGGAUUCCUUUGUAGUUAAUUCACCUAAGGUCCAACAACCACCUGAAAAAAGAAAAAUCGUCUCGUAUUCUUUUCUUUUUCCAUCUUGAAAAAAUGUUGUUAAGACAACAAAAUUUGCCAUGCGUCUACCCUGCCAGUAUCAUAUUCUCCUAAAACAAAUGAAUAUCGAGGUUCGGUUCUUAAAACUAUAAUUAAGACCGAACGAAUAUAUCAUUGUCUGCAAAACAGAAUUAAAAUGAAAUAAAAUAUAUAUUUUAUCA
rnacentral:lncRNA from 1 species